ACACGUCUACAUUAGAUACCCCUGUAGUCCCAGCCGUAAACUAUGCGCGUUAGGUGUAUCGGUGACCACGAGUCACCGAGGUGCCGAAGGGAAACCGUGAAACGUGCCGCCUGGGAAGUACGGUCGCAAGGCUGAAACUUAAAGGAAUUGGCGGGGAGCACCACAACGGGUGGAGCCUGCGGUUUAAUUGGACUCAACGCCGGGAAGCUCACCGGAUAAGACAGCGGAAUGAUUGCCGGGCUGAAGACUCUGCAUGACUAGCUG
rnacentral:rRNA from 1 species